rnacentral:rRNA from 1 species
AGUGAACGCUGGCGGUAGGCCUAACACAUGCAAGUCGAACGGCAGCACAGUAAGAGCUUGCUCUUACGGGUGGCGGGUGGCGGACGGGUGAGGAAUACAUCGGAAUCUACUUUUUCGUGGGGGAUAACGUAGGGAAACUUACGCUAAUACCGCAUACGACCUACGGGUGAAAGCAGGGGAUCUUCGGACCUUGCGCGAUUGAAUGAGCCGAUGUCGGAUUAGCUAGUUGGCGGGGUAAAGGCCCACCAAGGCGGCGAUCCGUAGCUGGUCUGAGAGGAUGAUCAGCCACACUGGAACUGAGACACGGUCCAGACUCCUACGGGAGGCAGCAGUGGGGAAUAUUGGACAAUGGGCGCAAGCCUGAUCCAGCCAUACCGCGUGGGUGAAGAAGGCCUUCGGGUUGUAAAGCCCUUUUGUUGGGAAAGAAAAGCAGCAGGUUAAUACCCCGCUGUUCUGACGGUACCCAAAGAAUAAGCACCGGCUAACUUCGUG